rnacentral:rRNA from 1 species
GACGAACGCUGGCGGCGUGCCUAAUACAUGCAAGUAGAACGCACAGUUUAUACCGUAGCUUGCUACACCAUAGACUGUGAGUUGCGAACGGGUGAGUAACGCGUAGGUAACCUGCCUGGUAGCGGGGGAUAACUAUUGGAAACGAUAGCUAAUACCGCAUAAUAUUGAUUAUUGCAUGAUAAUUAAUUGAAAGUUGCAAUUGCACCACUACCAGAUGGACCUGCGUUGUAUUAGCUAGUAGGUGAGGUAACGGCUCACCUAGGCAACGAUACAUAGCCGACCUGAGAGGGUGAUCGUCCGCACUGGGCCUGAGACACGGCCCAGACUCCUACGGGAGGCAGCAGUAGGGAAUCUUCGGCAAUGGACGAAAGUCUGACCGAGCAACGCCGCGUGAGUGAAGAAGGUUUUCGGAUCGUAAAGCUCUGUUGUAAGAGAAGAACGGCUGUGAGAGUGGAAAGUUCACACUGUGACGGUAUCUUACCAGAAAGGGACGGCUAACUACGUG